UUGGAUUUUUCACCUUUGAUUCAAAUUGAUUCAAAUCAACAUUAUCAUGUGGUGGACUUGACCUUUAAAGAUCAUGACAAAAAUAGUGUAUGUAUUUACAUGGACUUUGUUAGCUCAAUACAUGUAGUUCGAAAGCUCACAGAAAUCAUAGCUCAUUGAAACUACCAACCCAGCCGCCGCAGUCUCUCUCAAGGGGGUGGUGUGUAGUAUCGGAGUAAUUGAUACAUGUAGGUCUUUCUUAAACGUUCAGGGGAUCAAAAACCACUUCACGGAUUUGGAGGAGAGGAGCAAUCAACAAUCUUUGUAAAUUUCGACUCAAGAGAGCAUAAGAGACCAUAAACACUUAUGGCAGGUAUUAAAACCACAGACGGAUCGAAUGAUUUUGAUGGAAUCCUGGUCACGGUUGCAAAAAAAAUCCGAAAAAACUCAGAAAUCGACACUCUGGGAUCCAAGCUUGGAUUUACUCCUGAAGAUGUUCAUGGAUACAUAGCAACCAAUCACAAAACACAAGAAAUUACGUCGGAUGGAACUCUGCAGAUGCUACGGGCUUGGUGUAAAGGUCAAAGAGUUGGUACAGAAAGAGAAGCUUUAAAGACUGCUCUUGAAAAAUCAGGUCAAAUCCGUUUAGCUGAUGAACUCUUUCCAUGAAGUCGACCAG